AUUGAACGCUGGCGGCAGGCUUAACACAUGCAAGUCGAGCGAGCGGCGGACGGGUGAGUAAUAUCUGGGAAACUGCCCACUGGAGGGGGAUAACUACUGGAAACAGUAGCUAAUACCGCAUACCAUCAGAUCUGCCCAGAUGGGAUUAUCUAGUUGGUGGGGUAAUGGCUCACCCAGGCGACGAUCCCUAGCUGGUCUGAGAGGAUGACCAGCCAAACUGGAACGGAGACACGGUCCAGACUCCUACGGGAGGCAGCAGUGGGGAAUAUUGCACAAUGGGGGCAACCCUGAUGCAGCCAUGCCGCGUGUGUGAAGAAGGCCUUCGGGUUGUAAAGCACUUUCAGCGAGGAGGCGUUACCGGCAGAAGAAGCACCGGCUAACUCCGUGCCAGCAGCCGCGGUAAUUC
rnacentral:rRNA from 1 species